GUCUAAGAUGAGAGACGAAUGGACCCAAAAUGUAACUGCAGCUAUUAAAAGGAAAGGAAAAAGCGAAUCUCUCUGUGGUUUUCUGUCAUUUUCCUUAGAAAAAAAAGUGAUUAUCACGUGAAUGCUUCGUCCACUGUUCAAUAAUCAAUUUCCCUCCUCAGUCCUCUCACGCCACCAUUAAAUCUUUUACUUUACAUUUUCUUUCUGGCUAGAGAGAGAUGGAACCUCCCCCAAGUCAAGCAAUAGAUGCUUCUAGUUUCCAGAUAGAAGAUGAUCAAGACAAGAUUGUUGAUGAGUGUUGUUCUUGCUGUUUCGACUGCACGGAUAGCUGCUUUGACUUCUUCUGCUGCUCCAACCUUUGUUAGGGUUUCUUCAGUACCAUACUCUCUCUAUCUUCUUUGUUUCAUCAGUGUCUUUAGCAAAUCAAAUCAGAAGAAAAUAUGUGAUAUUAAUUUUGGCUCUUUAAUGGCUUUCCCCUGUUUCUUUACCCCAUAGACCCAUAAGAAUUGUCUAGAGACGAGGGGGUCUACAGUCUACUAACUGAUGGUACUCCUUUUUGGGGUUUUUCAUAGCAAAAAUUUGAUACAGUAUUGAAUAUUGUGAUUACCUCUUAUUAAAGGGUCUGUGUGAAGAAA